GAGCAUGCGCGGCCCGUGUGCACCGGCAGGAAGGGGGCGCGUUUGGACUGUUUGAUUAGACCGGGAGCGGCGAGGGAGCGAGGUGGCGCACCUGACGCUGAGGUUGCCACCCUGCUGGGCUGAGGCCUUCCGAGAAGCCGAAUGAGCGACGUGACAUGAGAAGUCCCAAGAGAGCGAAUCUGAAACCCGCGCCUCCUGAAUUCAGAUUGCUGGGAGGCGAGAUGAGUUAGACUCUGUCCCCAGAUACAAGCAACAUCACUUCCUUCAGAUAUAAAGACUUUCUUGGAGAUUAAAUUUGCAAAAUUUUGGGGCUGACACUGUGAUGCAGCAGGUUUACGCCCUGGCCUGAAGUGCCGGCAUCCUGUAUGGGCGCUGGUUCUCGUCCUGGCUGCUCCUCUUCCGAUCUAGCUCUCUGCUAUGGCCUGGGAAAGCAGUAGAAGAUGGCCCAAGUUCAUGGGCCCCUGCACCCACGUGGGAGACCUGGCUCCUGGCUUUGGAUCGGCGCAGCUCCAGCCAUUGCAGCCAACCGGGGAGUGAACCAUCAGAUAGAACACCUCUCUCUGCCUCUCCUUCUCUCUCUGUGUAACUCUGACUUUCAAAUAAAUAAAUCUUUAAAAAAAUUUGCAAAUUUUUUGUUUAUAAUUUGUCUUUUUAUUUAUUGUUACUAAUGCCUUUUGUAAAGUACCCCCACACACACAUUUUUAAAUAUAUUUAAAUUAAUUUUUUAAUUUAUUUGAAAGGCAGAGAGAGAGGGAGAGAGAAUUCCCAUCUGCUGGCUUACUCUCCAAAUGCCCACAGCAUCUGAAACUGGACCAGAUCAAAGCAAAGAGCUGGAACACAAUCAAGGUCCCCCAUGUGGCUAGCAAGAAUCCAACCAUUUGAAUCAUCACCACUGUCAUCUAGGGUCUGCAGUAACAGAAAGCUGGAGUCAGGAGAUUUAUCAGGGCAUCAAACCCCGUUACUCUAAUGGGAAACAAGAACAUCUUAAUUGGUGUCUGAACUGUUCAGCUAAAUCCUGCCCCAUUUAAAAUUUUUGAGUAACACAUAAUGUAUGGGGUACAAUGUCAUAUUUCAAUACAUGUAUGUAAUGUGUAAUGAUCAGGGUAAUUGGCAUAUACAUCACCUCACACAUUUAUUAUUUGUUUAUGUUGAGAACAUUCCAAAUUCUCUAAGCUAUUUUGAAAUAUACAGUUAGGAGACCAGCAUCAUGGUGUAGCAGGUUAAUCUACUAUUUGUGACACUGGUAUCUCCUGUGGGUGCUUGUUUGUGUCCUCACUGCUCCACUUCUGAUCCAGCUCCCUGCUAAUGUGCCUGGGAAAACUGCAGAAGAUAGCCCAGGUGCCUGAGCCUCUGCCACCCAAGUAGGAGACCCAGAUGAAGCUCCUGGCUUCUGGCUUCAACCUGGUGAGCCCACUUGGGGAGUGAACCAGCAGAUGAAUAUUCCUUCUCUCUCUCUCUAACUUUGUCUUUCAAAUAAAUAUAUCAAUCCUUUUUGGAAAAAGAAAUAUCCAAUUAGAUGUUGUCAAUUCUUGUUACUCUAUUGUGCAUUAAAAUUCAUUUCUCUUGGCCAGCACCGUGGCUCACUAGGCUAAUCCUCCGCCUUGCGGUGCCAGCACAACGGGUUCUAGUCCCAGUCGGGGCACCAGAUUCUGUCCCGGUUGCCCCUCUUCCAGGCCAGCUCUCUGCUGUGGCCCGGGAAGGCAGUGGAGGAUGGCCCAAGUGUUUGGGCCCUGCACCCCAUGGGAGACCAGGAGAAGUACCUGGCUCCUGCCAUCAGAUCAGCGUGGUGCGCUGGCCACAGCGCGCCAGCCGUGGCGGCCAUUGGAGGGUGAACCAACGGCAAAAGGAAGACCUUUCUCUCUGUCUCUCUCUCUCUCUCUCACUGUCUACUCUGCCUGUCAAAAAAAAAAAAAAAUUCAUUUCCCUUCUCCAACUGCUCCCUUAAUGAUUCCCAUUAAGAAUCUUUUCCCCAUCCUCCUUUUGCAAAAUUUUAAAUAUUGAUGAAGUCAAAUUUAUAAUUUUUUUCUUUUUGUAUUAUAUAAGGAAUCAUUGCACAAUGAUAGGUCAUUAAGAUUUUCUCCAAGGAUUCUGUCUAAAAGUUGUAUAUUUUAUAUUUUACAUUUAGAUAUAUAAUGCAUUUUGAAUUAAUAUUAAUAUAAAGUAUGAAAAAUUAAAGUUCAUGUUUUUAUGGGACAGCAUCAUUUGUUGAAAAAGACAAUCCUUUGGGCCUUUGCUGAAAACCAAUUGUCAGCAUUUAUAUGGGUCUGUUUCUGGGCUGUUUAUUCUGUUCCACCGAUCUAAGUGCCUAUCUCUUCCCUAGUACAUACUUUCUUGAUUCAGCUAGUGCUCUAGUGCUUUUUUUUUUUUUUUUUUUAAAGUAUUUAUAUUUGUUGAAAGGCAGAGAAACAGAGAGAGAGAGACAGACACAGGGAGAGAUAGACAGACAGACAGACAUAUUCCACCCACUACUUCAUUUCCCAAAUACCAGCAACAGCCAGAGUUAGACCAGGCCAAAGCCAAGAGUCUUGAUGUUUCAGUUUGCCUUAUGAUGACAUUUCCCUCUGUUUAGUAAUUCCUUAGAGUAGAUCUGUUAACAAUUCCCUUUAUUUUCCUUGUCUGAGAAUUUGUUUAACUUCAUCCAUGAGUUAUGUUUUUGUGAGAUAUAGUAUUUUGAUUGACAUAUUUUUGCUUCAUUUUGUUUCUUGCACUUUAAGUUGUUCCACCCUUCAUUGUUUCAGAUGAGAAAUUUGUAGUCGUUCAAAUUGUUUUUCUUCUAUAGUAAUGUGAUUUUUUUUCCUUGUAUCUGCUAUCAAGAAUUUUUUUCUUUAAUUUUCAGCAGGUUGAUUUUGACGUGUUUGGGCAUGGAUUGCUUUGAAUUAAUCCUUCUUGGAGUUUGCUAAGUUUAUUUAACAUGUAAAGUUAUGUUUUCCACCAAAUUUUUGGAAUUUUCAAUUAUUUUUCAAUAUUUUCACUAUACUAAAUUAUCUUAUUGUGGCUUCAAUAUCCAUUCUUGAACCCAUAGUAACAUGAAUAUUAGAUCUUUUGCUACUUUUCCAGUCAUCCCUGAGAUGAUGUUCAUUUUUUCCUCAAUAACUUUUCUUUCUGCUUUUCAGUCCAGGCAAUUUAUAUUGUCUACCUCAAAAUUUGUUGAGUCUUUCUUCUGCCAUCUCCUUUCUGUGACUGAGUUCAUUCAAUGUGUUCUUUAUUUCUGUUAUUCUAUUUUUCAGUUCUGAAUUUCAAUUUAAUUCUUUUUAAGACUUAUUUAUUUUAUUUGAAAGUCAGAGUUACACAGAGAGAGAAGGAACGGCAGAGAGAGAGAGAGAGAGAGAGAGAGAGAAAGAGAGAGAGAGGUCUUCCAUCUGAUGGUUCACUCCCCAGUUGGCCACAACAGCCGGAGCUGUGCUGUUCUGGAGCCAAGAGCCAAGAGCUUCCUCCAGGUCUUCUUACAUGGGUGCAGGGGCCCAAGGACUUGGGCCAUCUUCUACUGCUUUCCCAGGCCAUAGCAGAGAGCUGGAUCGGAAGUGGAGCAGCCAGGACUUGAACCUAUAUUGGAUGCCAGUACUGCAGGAAGCGGCUUUCCCCGCUAGGCCACAGUGCCGCCCCUUCAAUUUAAUUCUUUAUAUCUUAUUCCUUUGUAUUCCUUUCAAGAAUAUUUUUGCUUAAGUUCUGGUACACUUUUAUAAUAACCACUUUAAAGACUUGAUCAGCUAAUUCCAGGAUCUGUGUAAUCUCAUCAUUGGGCUCUGUUAAUUCUCUUGAGAUUUUCUUGGUUCUUUGUACACUGGAAAAUUUUGAAUUGUGUCCCAACAUUUAAAAUGUUAUGCUGGAAGAUUUCAGAUUUUGUUUAAAUCCUAUGGAGAAUAUUAAUACUUCUGCUUCAGCGGUAAUAGACCUGUGGGUAGAGGCCACAAGUUCAAAUGAACCUUCUCUGUGUUGUUGUAUCAGUGUCAAUUCUGUCUGCAAAGACUUUGCUUUGAUAUUUGGAUCUAUCCUCUGUGUACCAUCAUUAAAUGUUCAGUAGGACCUGUGUAGUGGUCUGUUCUUUAGUUCAGUCUCAAAGUCUUUUUUUUAAAGAAAGAUUUAUUAUUUGUUUUUCUGGAAAGCAGAAUGGGAGAGAAAGAUACACACACACACACACACACACACACACACCACACACGGGGAGAGAGAGAGAGAGAGAGAGAAAUCUUUCAUCUGCUGGUUUACUCUCCAGAUGGCCACAACAGCAGGGUUGGGCCUGGCCAGAGCCAGGAUCCAGCAGGGAUUCUAUCCUGGUCUUCCACAUGGUGGCAGCAACCCAAGUACCCAGACCUUCAUCUGCUGCCUCCCAAAUACAUAAGCAGGAAACUGGAUCAGAGGCAGAGAUGGGAUUUGAUCCCUGGCACUUUGAUAUGGAAUGUGAGUGUAUCAAGUGGUGGUCCAAUUUUCUAUGCUACAACAUCAGCCCCUCAAAUAUUUGAUAUGCUGUUAUGAUCAUAUCUGUUCUUGUGCAGCUUGAGGUCUAGAGUUGAUAACCAACUUUGUAAGUUUCCUGAAUUCCCACCUCUCCAUCUCUUGUACUUUCUGGUGCCUGGAACUUCAUUUUUCAGUCUCAAGGCUAGAAAGCUAAUGCUUUAGUUACCCUGUUCUGUCAUGGUUUUUGUUUUAAUUAUUUUAUUUUAUUUGAAAGAAUUAGUGAGAGAGAGAGGGAGAGUCAGAGAGAGGUCUUCAUUCUGUUUCAACCCAGGUGGCCACAACAGCCAGUACUAAGCCGGGCUGAAUUCAGGAGCCAGGAGUUUCUUCCAGGUCUCUCACAUGUGUGGCAGGGGCCCAAACACCUGGGCCACCUCCCACUGCUUUUCCCAGGCCAUUAGCAGGGAGCUGUAUUGGAAGUGGAACAGCCAGGAUGCAAACUGGUGCCUACAUGACAGCUGGUGUUGCAGGCAAUGGCUUUACCUGCUAUGCCACAAUGCCAGCUCUGGCUAUAUACUUUUUUAGACUUACACCAUUGUCUCGAAUCUAGAGCCACAUAGUGGAAAGAUAAAGGCUAAAAGCAACUUGUAUUUGACCCAUCAUCCUGAAACUCCAUCUUUUCCAUAGAAGAAAUUUCCCAUCCCUCAUAGAUGUUGGAGUGUGCGGGCUCCCGCUGCCAUUGCCAUCAUUGCCACCAUUGGGCUGGCAGGGUGGUCUGGAGCCUGGAGCACUGUAGAACAGAGAACAAAAGAACAAAGAGUGGCAGAUUCCAAAUAUAUUCUCUGAGUAUUAGGAGAAACUUGAGCACAACUCCUGUAACUUUCUCUGUGACCUGAUGCCUGUUCAGAAUUUCAGACCAUCAUACAUCUGCAUUAAAGGAUUCUGGUAGGGAAAACACAAAAAUGAAAAACUCACUGCUGGUUUAUCAUUGUUUUGAAUGCUGUUCUUCUUCCCACAUUAAUCUGCUACUUUUUAUCUUCCAGAGUCCUCAAGUAGCUGUUCCAUACAUUACAUCUAAAUUUUAUAGCUACAGUCAGUAAAACAAAGACAAGAUUCAGGGUACUUACUCUGAAAUAUGUCAUGUUUGCAAAAUUCAGAAGUUGAAGUCCUAACUACCAAUGUAAUGGUAUUUGGAGAUGAGAUCUUAGGGAGGUAAUUAUCAUUAAAUGAAGUCAUGCAGAUGGGGCCCUCAUGAUAGGAUUCAUGAUUUUAUAAGAACGGAUAGCACAGAGCCUAUUUCUCUCUCUUUCCUCCUUGUGAGGACAUCAGAGAAGGCAGCCCUCUGCAAGCCAGAAAGAGAGCCCUUAUCAAGAACCAAAUCAGAUAGUACCUGGAUUCUGGGCUUCCCAGUCUCUCAAACCAUGAGAAAAUAAAUUUCCGUUGUUUGUACCACCCAGUCUAUGUUUGUUAUAGUAUCCUGAGAAGACUAAGACAGUUGCCAAAAUAUUCAUAAGAAGAUUUUAUGGCAACACAUAUUGUGCCAAUUCAGUUACUACUUUUUCUUAUAUUUAGCUACUAGUUUUUCUUAUAUUUAGCUGAAAUUCCAGACAAAAAAAGAAAUAAUCCCCCGCCUAGUCUUAGUUUAAGAGAGAAAAAUAAUUUUGUAUUGUUUAGCUAUAAGACCUCAAAUAUAUAUAUAUAUAUGUUUUAAAUUAAUUUAUUGCUUCAUUGAUCACAAGACCCUUUGAUUCAUUUGUUUAAUGGUUUGCUGUAAAUAAUCUCAAGGCUAAGUGACCAAGGUCUUGCUUGGGCCAAUUCUUUUUAUUUUUUUAUUUUUUUGAUAAGCUUGCUUCAAAGAGAACUUAUGGUUAGAAGAUCAUAGUCCAUUUAUUUCACAUAUACCCUAUUAAAAUAUAAGAAAUAAGAAUAGUGUUGAAUACAUAGAAUGGAGCAGAAGAAAGAUAAAGGAGUUCAUAUUCUGCAGAAUAAUAGUUCUAAAUACAUUCAUAUUUUAUAAUAAGUGAAACACGAGUAAUUCUUGACCAUCCAUAAAGAAGGACAAGUCUUCACAAUUGGAGUGGAACUGGGCUAGAACCAGGCUGUUGUUUCAAGUGGGGCGAAGACUCUAGACUUAGGUACUUUGGUACCUAAGGCAAUUUCAUGUUAUGCUCUACUGCUCUCCACCAGAUGGACUUCUUUUCCUCACUCCCCUCCCCCAAUCUCCCUCUUUUGGUAAUCUUUUUCCAUCUCAUCCGAUCCCUUUUCUCUUUUUGCUUCCUUGUAGUUUUUUGUCCCUCUGAAGUUAGGUUAAUCAGCACAGUAGGAUUUAAAGAAGCUGCUGACCCUUGAGAGAAGUGUCUACGUUUAGCAAUCUCCAUCUCCCAUCUCUCCCUUGUAUGCUGCCUUCCCCUUUCUAUUCAGCCUCUCCAUAUUGUUCUCCUCAGGGCCAUGCUGAGGCCAUUUUUGCCAUUCUUGGCAAAAAGACAUGAAUUAACUCUGUUUGACUCCCUUAGGAAUGAAAAGGUUAUUUCUGAACCCAGUUCUAGAAUAAGAAUAUUGUAAUUUUUCUCUCCCACACUAGAGUUUUAUAAAAGCAUUAUAUUGUUCCAGAAUUAAUUAGGAUAAUCGAUGAAAUUAAACCUCAGUUAUGAUUUGGACACUUAUAUCUUAGAAAAAAUGGAAAGUAAAUGUAAGAAAAUUAUUUCAUCAGAAUUAAUUUGAAAUAGAAAAGUUACUCUUUUGAAUAAAAUUUAGUUUCCACAUCCUAGGAAAUUUUGGUUAUUUGGAUAUGUUGUAACUGAGGUGAAAGGUGCAUCAGUGCGUUUGGUUGGUAAUUAGCAAGGCCUCAUAGCAUACUACCUUUGUUCCCCUUCA